rnacentral:lncRNA from 1 species
CCUAAAUCAUUUCAAGCCCCACCCGCAGCCAGCCAGCACCCGCUCUCGCUCUGAAACUUGAACUCGAACAGUCGAACUCCAUCUGAUCCGGGGAUCCGAUCCGCCACCUCCAGUCGCCUGCUCACCGACACUGCUCUGGUGACCUCACCUUGCCACUCCUUUCUCCCUUUCCUACCUCUUUUCCCUUUCUUCCUCCUCCUCCUCCUCCUAUAGACCAUGUGAGUCGUUGUCCUGUCACUGCCACACGUUCGGGCAUUAGCACCGGUCGGGAAGGGCCUGUUGCCCCGGUUCCCGAGCCGGUGCUGCCCUUCCGGGACUAAAGGCCCACCCUUUAGUCCCGGUUCCGGUAACCGGAGCUAAAGCACCCCCUUUAACACCGG